UUCAUUGGGCGUUGGUGAACUCGGCUGUGAGUCGUUCUACCUCCCACUGUCGAGCAUUAAAACUGGGGAAAGGGCCGUAAGCUGUUUCUCGAAUCGUGGGUACCGAUCUCCAUGGUGCCCGCGAGAACUUGGGAAUUUGUUUCUUUGGUUUUCCUUUUGUUACUCGCUUCACUUCACACGCUUCCAUUUCCACGUGAGAAUGCCGAUGGUACGCGGAACAUUGAGAGCGUGAAAAAUCGAACUGCUUUUCCAGUGCGUUGGGGGAAAACGACGAACAUUUUGACUGAACAAUUGUCCCGCUGAUAAUACCGGGAAUAAGUCACUUUAAACAAUUAUCUUAUACUCGAAGUACAAGUGCAAUAGUAAGGAAUAAAAAUGCACAGAUAACAUAACUGACUGUUAUAGUUGAGUUCCGUGGGGAGCGAGUGCUUCACGUGAAAUUUUCCGAUAGUUGUCCGGGCUCUCCUCGGAGCUGAGGUGGAGGUUGUACGUCAUCGCAAAACUUUUCCCCGUUUAGAUAAGAGAGGGAAGGAUCCACAGUAAUUUGAAAUGUGUCCCGGCGGGGCUCGACUUUUGAUGCUUCGGAAUUCGAUGCAUUUCAGCAUUGGAUUACCAGCGAAAAACGAUUACGAGAAGAAAAUUUCAUCGAAUCCUGCUCGAGUUUCCCGUCGCUUGAAUUUAUCUGAGAAUUCAAACUUUCGAAUAUCGUCGAAUGUGUUCUUUCCCCUCUUAUCGUCCAUUCGAAACUUCGCGAAUAAGCGAAAACGAAAGCUGCAGUACAAUUGAACGGAGAGUGGCCAAAUUCUUCUAGAAAAUCUCGCAAAAAAUUGAGAAAUCCCCAAAGACUAAGUACUCCCAACGUCCAGAAAAUAAUGCCGAAAUGACUCGAUGGAUUCGUUCAAAAAGCAGCAAUAAACACCAAUGAUGAACAAAACGAACUGCUAAGCACCAACCUCUCCCAAAAGUGGGCCAAGUAUCUUCGUCUCUCUCUCUCUCCUUUCUUCUUCAGGAGAACACCAUCUGGCUUGAUUAUGCUAUAGUUAUGGCGUGUCCUCAGAAUGCCUGAGAUAAGAAGUUUUUACAGUAGCGACUCUCUCCGGCGUGACAAAGUACCGAUGGGAUGUGCAAUCGCCCGGUGUGCUUUUGCGCUACUCCGCAUGAACUCUGCAAACGUAGAAUACAUUCAGAAACAGAGUUACAUGUAUAUAGGGGGGCCUAUGGCUGGAUACGAAGUUGGUGGGCUCGUGUUGAGAAUCGUACUUGCCCAUAUCUCUAUAGGUUGCUGUGUCACCAACUUCUCUAUAGUCAGAGGCCUCCAGUUUCAAAGGAGUGAGGAGUUUUCAUUGGAAUUUUCCAAAUGUCAUCGACAACGUUGCCUUUCCUUGGGUGGAAAUGGAAGGAAAUUCUGUUUUUCUGUACGCAACGGAAGACAAUACGAGAGGAAAAGAGCGAGUGCGAGGAGGGAGGAGAUGUAAUCAACUGGCCACUUUGGCAUCGAUUCGUAUCGCGUAUUCCAAUAAAGCUUUCUACUAGAGCUGCAUAUGCUUCCCCUGAGAGUGAGAGCAAAGUACGAGGAAGAGGAAGAGGCAGUUCACGUAUACAGAUAUAUUCAUGGGAAAUAAUCUACGCAGAAGCCUAACGAUACGUAUGAUCCAGCAGCAGCUUCCGCGAGGGAUUCAAUAUCUAUGGAGAUAUCGGUCGAUGAGAACGAUCGAAAUUCUAAUUCGCCAAAUAAAAUAGCAGCAAAAACAACGGAAUCCGCAGACGUAAAAAGCCGAGGUGUUUCAGGUAAAUAGCAUCUACAGGAUCAUUGUGCGGUUCGUUGUAUAAGCAUUUGCGGAGUUCGGUGGGAUGCGUGUCGCUCGGGUAAACUCCCUGGAGGGGCCCGGCCAGCGGGGAAAAGGGUUAGGGGUGUGCGAGAGCUUUUACUGCUCUCGAGAGUUUUCUUCCUGGGGCAAUCGUUCCAGACGCGAAUGGGACGUUCAGCGACGGUUUUUCCUGAUGGCGGUGUUGCACAACAGCGUGUACCUUCGCUAAGGGUAGUUUUAUUGUCGUAACCGAGCCCUCGGAGUAAAGGAUUGUGCAUCAGAUUCCUGUGCCCGUAAACUUGGAGGAUCGUGCGAAUAAACCGUUUCGUCGAUAGCAACAAAUGUGAAUCGUUGUUUUGGCCUAUCGCUUCUCACGUUCCUGCGCGUUCGCGAAUGAACGUUGGCAGAAGUGGGAAUAACCCUUUUAUUUAUCGGCUGCAUCGGAGGCCAGGAAGGAUCGCUGUUAAACCGAAGCAUUUUCUCAUUGUUCCAAAAUGUUUAUCGGGACGAUUGGUCUCCAUCGAAAUGUGAGUCGGAGUCAAGAGAGUUUUGAGUGAUUGUUUAAUCACAAAAAACGAGUGUUGCCUCAUCCGAAUGGGACGAUCUUGCAGCAUCAUCUUCAGAGACGCGUAACGCUCUUUGUUUCGUCGAGGAGUUACUCGGAGACGUGGAUUCAUAAUGCAAGAUGGUGAAAAAGCAAUUCCAUCGUGUCGCAAUGUCGGCUGGAAGGCUUUUCUCCUGCUUCCUGUGUAAGGACGUUUUUUCCACGCUUCUCUUUCGCUCUCUCGCAUGGACUCGGGAUCUCACCUGGAGGCUGCAUGAUACAGGACAAACGAGGAGAAAAAUAAAUUUGAUAAAACACAUCCGACGCUCGUCGGUCGUUUAUGGGAGAGCCUUUUCGCUUAUUCUCUCGCGUCGCAUACGCCAGAUGAACAUGCACGCAGCAUCCGUUUUCAGUCGCUCUUCUCCACACAUAUAUACGUCCAUUUACACGCACACUGCUCGCACAUAUUUUCAACAGAUAAGGAGAGGCAAAAUGUGGGAGAAAAAGCGUUGUAUUAUUUUUGCAUGCACAUACGAAACGCGGAAGAACGUAUUCCGCAGAGUUUUCUAAAUUAUUCAAAAUUUCUGUCUCUCUCCUUCUUUAUUUUCUCUAUGAUCUACAACGCCCCUCUUGUCAGUUGGCAGUGCCAAUCCAUCCUUUUUCAAUGCUUCACUUUCCUUCUCACCUCACUUCUUCUCUCGAGCUUUCUACUCCUCUGGGCAAAGACCGGACGAAAUGCUAGGAUGGUAACUCGAAAAAAUGGUUUUUUCAAUCAUUUAUUUUCGGAGCAAACUUUUUCACCGGUUUUUCUCAUUUUCAUUGGCUUCCCUCCACUCCGUUUUCUCGGUGGACCAUUUUACACCAUUUCAUACACGUGUAUUUCUCUUUUCACUUUUUCCUUCAUCCCCCCUUUUCUGUUCAUCCGCACA
rnacentral:lncRNA from 1 species